rnacentral:rRNA from 1 species
AUUGAACGCUGGCGGCAUGCUUAACACAUGCGAGUCGAACGGCAGCAUGUUAGUAGCUUUGGUUGCUAAUGAUGGCGAGUGGCGAACGGGUGAGUAAUACGUAGGAACAUAUCCAUGAGAGGGGGAUAACUUAGGGAAACUUAAGCUAAUACCGCAUGAGCUCUUAGGAGGAAAGCUGGGGACCGCGAGGCCGGGCGCUGAUGGGAUGGCUUACGGCUGAUUAGCUAGUUGGUGGGGUAAAGGCGCACCAAGGCGACGAUCGGUAGCUGGUCUGAGAGGAUGAGCAGUCACACUGGAACUGAGACACGGUCCAGACUCCUACGGGAGGCAGCAGUAGGGAAUAUUGGACAAUGGGCGCAAGCCUGAUCCAGCCAUGCCGCGUGAGUGAAGAAGGCCCUCGGGUUGUAAAGCUCUUUUGUUGGGGAAGAAAAGCCUUGGGUUAAUACCCUGAGGUUCUGACGGUACCCAAAGAAUAAGCACCGGCUAACUUCGUGCCAGCCGCCGCCGUAA